UAAUUUGAUAGGAUUUAUUCCCCCAGGGC
rnacentral:piRNA from 1 species